UCUUGAUCAAUCCAAUUAAUCAUCACCAUGUACCCACAAAUCCAAGACCCUUAUGGCAAGUAUUCAAACUCAUCAUCCUCAAUACCUGUUUCUCACCCUGCUCCUGUUACUGGUAUUCCUGUGAAUCCUUCUCCCCAAUACGAGAAUCGCCAGUUUCCCCUCCAUGACCUUUACCCCCAUGGACGUGAAGGAGCUUGGUCCUCAGGCCUCUGUGACUGCUGCUCCGACGUCAAAAACUGCUGCAUAACAUGUUGGUGCCCCU
rnacentral:misc_RNA from 1 species